GAUGAACGCUGGCGGCGUGCUUAACACAUGCAAGUCGAACGAUGAACCUCACUUGUGGGGGGGUUAGUGGCGAACGGGUGAGUAACACGUGAGUAACCUGCCCUUGACUCUGGGAUAAGCCUGGGAAACCGGGUCUAAUACUGGAUACGACCUUCUGGCGCAUGCCAUGUUGGUGGAAAGCUUUUGUGGUUUUGGAUGGACUCGCGGCCUAUCAGCUUGUUGGUGGGGUAAUGGCCAACCAAGGCGACGACGGGUAGCCGGCCGGAGAGGGUGACCGGCCACACUGGGACUCAGACACGGCCCAGAAUCCUACGGGAGGCAACAGUGGGGAAUAUUGGAAAAUGGGCGCAAGCCUGAUGCAGCGACGCCGCGUGAGGGAUGAAGGCCUUCGGGUUGUAAGCCUCUUUCAGUAGGGAAGAAGCCGGCUUUUGGGUUGGUGACGGUACCUGCAGAAGAAGCGCCGGCUAACUACGUG
rnacentral:rRNA from 1 species